UACGGAGGGUGCAAGCGUUAAUCGGAAUUACUGGGCGUAAAGCGUGCGUAGGUGGUUCGUUAAGUCCGUUGUGAAAGCCCCGAGCUCAACUUGGGAAUUGCAGUGGAUACUGGCGAGCUAGAGUGCGGUAGAGGAAGGUGGAAUUCCCGGUGUAGCGGUGAAAUGCGUAGAUAUCGGAAGGAACACCAGUGGCGAAAGCGGCUUCCUGGUCCGACACCGACGUUCAGGCACGAAAGCGUGGGGAGCAAACAGG
rnacentral:rRNA from 1 species